rnacentral:rRNA from 1 species
GACAGAGGGUGCAAACGUUGUUCGGAAUUACUGGGCGUAAAGCGAGUGUAGGCGGUCUCCUAAGUCGGAUGUGAAAGCCCCGGGCUCAACCCGGGAAGUGCACUCGAAACUGGGAGGCUAGAGUAUCGGAGAGGUUGGUGGAAUUCUCGGUGUAGAGGUGAAAUUCGUAGAUAUCGAGAGGAACACCGGCGGCGAAGGCGGCCAACUGGACGAAUACUGACGCUGAGACUCGAAAGCGUGGGGAGCAAACAGG